UUCAUCUUGUUGUUUGUCCCAACCUGGCUGGCUGGGCCCACGGCCGGCCGGUAACCACGGCCUCCGGCUCCAACAAUGCCGGCAUUUCCAUCGCUCUGGGAAGCCACCAGACAGUUCUGGGUCGAGUGUGGGACAGAAACUUAGGAAAGCAGCACUGACCUGAUUUUCUUGGAUGAGACUGUCCUCCCUGACAACGAGGCGGCCCUCAAACUCUCCCUCUCUGGGGUUUGCUGAGGAUGUGUGAAAUCCGUCUCUGCUCGAUGUCGCGGCGGAGGAAGGAAGAGGGCGUUGCGGACUCGUCCGCGCUCUCUGGACUGUGGCCGUCUUCCGGUUCGGAGUGGAUGAGUGACAGACUCGUUCCCGUUUCUCACAGCGUCACCGCUUCGCAAUGCGUCCAGUGUGUCAGGCUGCGGCUCAAACCUCCCACUCCAAAAGCCUGGCACUGUAACAUCUUACUGUUGCCGAGUUUGAUACAGGGCUUUUCCCACAACUGUCUACGUGGAAAGUGAGCUAGUGAUCGAUACUGAAAUAUCGAUACCUCCGAUUCUAGAUCUUUAUUCUCUAAAAUCCAUUCUCAGAUCAAAAAUAUUAACACUUUCGAUGCUUCAGUUAUUUGAGGAAAUGCAUACCAUUAAAGAAAAUAAACCAAA